GACGAACGCUGGCGGCGUGCCUAAUACAUGCAAGUAGGACGCUGAAGGAGGAGCUUGCUUCUCUGGAUGAGUUGCGAACGGGUGAGUAACGCGUAGGUAACCUGCCUGGUAGCGGGGGAUAACUAUUGGAAACGAUAGCUAAUACCGCAUAAUAGUAGAUGUUGCAUGACAUUUGCUUAAAAGGUGCAAUUGCAUCACUACCAGAUGGACCUGCGUUGUAUUAGCUAGUUGGUGGGGUAACGGCUCACCAAGGCGACGAUACAUAGCCGACCUGAGAGGGGGAUCGGCCACGCUGGGACUGAGACACGGCCCAGACUCCUACGGGAGGCAGCAGUAGGGAAUCUUCGGCAAUGGACGGAAGUCUGACCGAGCAACGCCGCGUGAGUGAAGAAGGGUGUCGGAUCGUAAAGCUCUGUUGUAAGAGAAGAACGAGUGUGAGAGUGGAAAGUUCACACUGUGACGGUAUCUUACCAGAAAGGGACGGCUAACUACGUG
rnacentral:rRNA from 1 species